rnacentral:rRNA from 1 species
GACGAACGCUGGCGGCGUGCUUAACACAUGCAAGUCGAACGGAAAGGCCCUGCGUUUGUGGGGUGCUCGAGUGGCGAACGGGGGAGUAACACGUGAGUAACCUGCCCUUGACUUUGGGAUAACUUCAGGAAACUGGGGCUAAUACCGGAUAGGAGCUCCUGCUGCAUGUUGGGGGAUGGAAAGUGUCGGCGGUUGAGGAUGUACUCGCGGCUUAUCAGCUUGUUGGUGGGGUAGGGGCUUACCAAGGAUUUGACGGGUAGCCGGCCUGAGAGGGUGACCGGCCACAUUGGGACUGGGGUGCGGCCCAGACUGCUACGGGCGGCAGGAGUGGGGACUAUAGCACGCUGGGCGGAAGGAUGAUGGAGCAACGCCGCGUGCGAGAUGACGGUCUUCGGGUUGUAAACAGCUUUCGAGUGUGACGAAGCGUGAGUGACGGAAAUAGGCAAAGAAGCACCGGCUAACUACGU